AGUGAACGCUGGCGGUAGGCCUAACACAUGCAAGUCGAACGGCAGCACAGUAAGAGCUUGCUCUUACGGGUGGCGAGUGGCGGACGGGUGAGGAAUACAUCGGAAUCUACUUUUUCGUGGGGGAUAACGUAGGGAAACUUACGCUAAUACCGCAUACGACCUACGGGUGAAAGCAGGGGAUCUUCGGACCUUGCGCGAUUGAAUGAGCCGAUGUCGGAUUAGCUAGUUGGCGGGGUAAAGGCCCACCAAGGCGACGAUCCGUAGCUGGUCUGAGAGGAUGAUCAGCCAACCUGGAAUGGAACCACGGUCCAGACCCCUACGGGAGGAACCAGUGGGGAAUUUUGGAAAAUGGGCGCAAGCCUGACCCACCCAUCCCGCGUGGGGGAAGAAGGCUUUCGGGUUGUAAACCCCUUUUGUUGGGAAAAAAAAGCAGCAGGUUAAUACCCCGCUGUUCUGACGGUACCCAAAAAAAAAGCACCGGCUAACUUCGG
rnacentral:rRNA from 1 species